UGAUCAGUUAGUAUAUCAAGAAGAGAAUUUAUAUGCUCAAUCUACAUUCCUAGAAGUGGUUAGGUUUUGUUUUUUCAUUUGGCCAACAACUUUUUCAUUCAUUGUUUCAUUCACUUGAUUCUCAUUCUGAAGAAUUUGAAAUGUAUUCAGGUUCUAACUUUUUCAUUGGAGUUGAACUUAAUUAACUUUUAAAAUUUGAGCAACAAUAUUUCAGAUAUUUUGGAAAGCAUUCCUAAUUUGCAAAACGUGUAAGUCUUUGCUUGUUCCAGCUUUAAGAAGUCCGAGGUCAGACUGUGCUGUGGUUGGAGGACAGUCUCCAUGAGCUCUGCCUUGGGAACUUGAGCACUGGCUUCAUGGCAGUGGGAUGAAGCUCUGACUCAGGAUCUCACCAUGUAACCCAGUCUGUCUUGGAAUUCAAGAUGCUCCUGCCUCAGCAUUGAGAGAGCUGGAAUUGGAGGUGGAAGUAACCAUGUCUGGCUGUUUUCAUCAUUUUUCUUUAGCUUUGAGCAAAUUUGGGAGCCUCAAAGUGGGAAAUGUGGGAAAAGAAGCACUGGUGUCACAGCGGCCAGCUGGCAGAGGGACAUUUCACAGCCACAUCAUGUGUCCCCUCCCCUUGUGAGCUUUUUCUUUCGACUGUUCUUUGAGAUGCACAAGUCAAAAGCUCGGUUACUUAUGUGCACUGGGAUAUUGUGAAAACUGUAACAUCCCAAGUACUCAAACAUGGCUAACUGGAUCUGAUGUUCAUGAUUUUGAAACAAGCGAUAGCAAUUGAGAAAAAUUCUGACAGUGCCUGGGUCAUAGGUUGUUGAGUAAUAAAGUUACAAGACUGAGAAAGAGCUACCUCCUCUUCUGCGGCUUUGGGGAGGCAGUGCACUCAAGGCCACAGAACAAGCCCUGAACACCACUGCACUGAAUUGCACAUAACCGUGCUCA